rnacentral:tRNA from 1 species
AAAUCCGUCGAAUUUAGAAAUCGUGAGGGUUCAAGUCCCUCUAUCCCCA